AGAAGACGAGUGGGAGCGGGGGGGGGUAAGAGGGAGGGGGGGUGCGUUGGGCGGAGUUAUGGGGCGUAAAGGGCGCGCAGGCGGUUCAGCAAGUGGCGGGGGAAAUCUCCGGGGUUAACUGGGAGGGUGCCUGGAAAACUGCUGGACUGGAGGCAGGGAGAGGGAUGUGGAAUUCCCGGUGUAGGGGUGAAAUGCGUAGAUAUCGGGAGGAACACCAGUGGCGAAGGCGGCAUCCUGGCCCUGUCCUGACGCUCAGGGGCGAAAGCGUGGGGAGCAAACCGGAUUAGAUCCCGGGUAGUC
rnacentral:rRNA from 1 species